ACACCGGACUACUUAAUAAAUACAUUAAAAAACAAUCAGACGUCAAAGUUCAGUGCAGUCAGAGACAGCAACAGAAUAAAGAGUCUGACCUUUAUAACGAGAGGGAGAGACUGAAACAAGAACUAGCAUAAGAGAAGAGAGCACAUGCUGAGAUUGAAAACUACCUCAAGAAGCACAUUGAAUAUAAGGAGAGGGAGGAGGUUGUGAUUGAGCACAGAGCAAUGAAGGAGAGACAAAGAA